CACAUUCACCGGCAAAUGAUACACUACAUAUUGAACCUCAACAUGUGCAGAGUCAAUAUGUUUCCAGUGCUCCUGCUAAUUUCUAUUCUGGAAGUGUUGCUCUGCCAGACUACCACCCCAGAUGUUUCUUGCUUAAAUCAACAGUUCUCGAUUAUUUUCGACCAAGUUGGCUUACAAGCAAUCAACUACAGAAGUAGAAUCAACGCUAGAUUUUUUGAUCAAAUGAUUUCUAUGCAAUAUGAUAACACAAACCAAAGGAUAAGUUUAAAGUAUUUUCGAAAGAUUCCUUUUGGAGAUGGACCGUGCAUUUCCAAAAGGAUAGAAGAUAAUCGAAUGGGCCAGAGCUUCCAAUUUAUGAACAGUUCUUGCAUGACAACAACAACAACCCAGAAAACUAUCCUGACCAAUCCAUGCAUUUUCCGUGAAAUCCUAACACGUACAAAUGUUAGCUUUGUUUGAUCAGCGAGACUUGGAUCACCAACCAACCAUAUGACGGUCAAUAUUAUCAAAUUACAUAAUGAGCAUCUUUUCAAUGGUAUAGCUGUUUUUUCUUCGAACGAAACCUUCAUUCCCAUAUUCAUUGCGAUAAAAGAUUUCGGUCAUGCAGUUCACCAAAUGACCAUGCUCUUUUUCAACUACACUGUUGGAUUGGUUGAUCCCUCUGACUUCAUAUUCAAUAGAUCGACGUGAAAUCCAGGCAUACCCAUUCAAUGGUUCAUGUAUCCUUGCUACGAAAAAAACGCCUUUGGUCUGUAUAUUCCAACAAAAACAAAUUAAAAAU